rnacentral:lncRNA from 1 species
CUGAAUUGUGGUCUUGGGGUGUCUUUUGCUUGGGGUGUCUUUUAUUUUUUUCCACCAGAAUAUAUUAUUUUGUUUUGAUGACAAAUAUAUGGAGCCCAUUCCCACAAACAUCUAUGUAUGGCACUCAGUUAAACCCACAGGCCAUUAUUCCUUGUGGGAUUAAAAAAUAUGCUUCAUACUGGUGAAGUAGGAUUGAGGAGUUUUCCUCUUUCUUAGGGCACAAGUCAGAUGCAGAAAUUCACUGAUAAUAAUUUUAGUGAUUCUUGACAAAUUCAAGAGCAUAAGGUCAGCUGCAUCCCAUCCAUGUGUGUGUAACUCACCGGUGAGCAUGUAUUACAGAUCUCCAUCUGUGCCUGCUCUCCACAGGACGUGAUUGUACUAAUCCAUACCAGAAAGCUUGAUUACAAGCUUCAGCAGAUUUUGCUGUGAGUGCUGGAGCUCUUCUCCCAGUCCCCUGUAUGUCAGCGGGGAGAGCAGCUGUCACCAUCGGCGUACAGUACAGCAGAUCUCCUCACUGCUGAUGAAAGCCCAGAGACACUGAUUUAUGAGGUGUCCUGUGUCACCCCUGUGCAAAUCUUCACAGGACAGCUUGAAGAAAAACCAUCUGCAUAUUCUACAUCUGCUCCUUUGGGGCUACUUGAAGAUCCACCUUUUUCUUUCACAGUGUCACCCUUUGACCAUCACACUGACAGUGUAUGUCUGCUUACAGUACAUUUGUCUACAGUGAAGGGAAGCCAGUGUGCCGCUCAAACCUCAUAAAGAUGUCCUUUGGUCUCACAGUUCUGCAUGAGAGAGCCACAAAUAGGCAGGAGUUGUUCUCAAGAGCUUCUGCCCUGAGCAUCCUGGACAUGCUGCAUGGGGACAGCAGAGGAUGCUGUCUGUCCCUUGGAACAUCUGUUGGAGAUGCUGACAUUUGCCCACUCAUUGCUGUGGGCUUCUUUGGGCAGCCCAAACAGGGCUCUGUAUUUGCUUAGCCAAAUUUGGUCUGUAGCUGCUAUGGUGAUGCUGUUACACUCUUGGUUUUCUAACAGAGAAAAGUGCUCUGUGUGUAUUUGCAAGUACAAAUGUUUUAACAGAAUACAUCUCAUUAUAUUUCAGUGCUGUGACAGCAUGUGAAAUAAAUAAAUAUUGAAGUCAGAAAACUCGGAGACU